UCAUCCGAGGCCCCGUAAUCGGAAUGAGAACACUCUAAAUCCUUUAACGAUGAUCUAUUGGAGGGCAAGCCUGGUGCCAGCAGCCGCGGUAAUUCCAGCUCCAAUAGCGUAUAUUAAAGUUGUUGCGGUUAAAAAGCUCGUAGUUGGUUCUGCGUGCCACGCUGUCGGUUCACCGCCUGCCGGUGCAACUGGCAUGCCGUGGCAUGUCCUGUCGGUGGCGGAUAGGCCUCCCGGCGUGCCCUAUGCGGUAUACCAGCGUGUAGGCUGCUGCUCCGGGGGUGUCCUUGUACGCCGACUCAAUCCUACCGCGGUGCUCUUUACCGAGUGUCGAGGUAGGCCGACACUGUUUACUUUGAACAAAUUAGAGUGCUUCAAGCAGGCUCUUAAAUCAGCCUGAAUAGUGGUGCAUGGAAUAAUGGAACAGGACCUUGGUUCUAUUUUGUUGGUUUCCGGAAUCCAAGGUAAUGAUCAAUAAGGACAGGCGGGGGCAUUCGUAUUGCGACGUUAGAGGUGAAAUUCUUGGAUCGUCGCAAGACGCACUAAAGCGAAAGCAUUUGCCAAGUAUGUCUUA
rnacentral:rRNA from 1 species